rnacentral:rRNA from 1 species
UACGGGAGGCAGCAGUGAGGAAUAUUGCGCAAUGGGGGAAACCCUGACGCAACGACGCCGCGUGAGUGAGGAAGCCUUCNGGUCGUAAAGCUCUGUCAGAAGGGAAGAAGUGCUAGAUGGUUAAUACCUAUUUAGUUUGACGGUACCUUCAAAGGAAGCACCGGCUNACUCCGUGCCAGCAGCCGCGGUAAUACGGAGGGUGCAAGCGUUGUUCGGAAUCACUGGCGUAAAGGGCCGCAGGCGGUUUGGUAAGUCAGAUGUGAAACCCAUGGCUCACCAUGGAAGUGCAUUUGAAACUGUCAGACUUGAGUACUAGAGGGGAAAGUGGAAUUCCCGGUGUAGAGGUGAAAUUCUAGAUAUCGGGAGGAAUCCGGUGGCGAAGGCACUUUNUGCUAAUCUGCCUGAGGCCGAAAGCGUGGGANAAACAUGAUUAAUCCUGUAGUCACCCGAAACAUGUAACUAGUGUAGGGGGUGUUGUCCCUUNCCNACUACCAUAAUGCCGCUGGGAGACGCGAAAUAAACUAAAGAUUGCGANGCGAUCUUAACCUNAGAUNUCCUUANGAGGUAUUUGANUUGCGAUAU